rnacentral:piRNA from 1 species
AGCCAAAUGAAGAAAAAAAGUUCUAAGGG